rnacentral:misc_RNA from 1 species
GAAAUGCGAUAAGUAGUGUGAAUUGCAGAAUUCAGUGAAUCAUCGAAUCUUUGAACGCACAUUGCGCCCUUUGGUAUUCCAAAGGGCAUGCCUGUUCGGGCGUCAUUUGUACCCUCAAGCUUUGCUUGGUGUUGGGCGUCUUGUCUCUAGCUUUGCUGGAGACUCGCCUUAAAGUAAUUGGCAGCCGGCCUACUGGUUUCGGAGCGCAGCACAAGUCGCACUCUCUAUCAGCAAAGGUCUAGCAUCCAUUAAGCCUUUUUUCAACUUUUGACCUCGGAUCAGGUAGGGAUACCCGCUGAACUUAAGC